rnacentral:ncRNA from 1 species
CUGGGCGGCGAGCUUCGGUGAGCUGUUCGGGCUAGUAGCGUGGCCCGUAGGUGGAUCGUUUCAGCUUGGUCUGCGUUCGUUUCGGCGUGCGUAGUCUUCGGCUAGCGCUUAACAAUCGUAAUCUAGAACUGGUACGGACUGGGGGAAUCCGACUGUCUAAUUAAAACAGAGGAGACAGAUGGUCUCUGAAAGACGUUGACUGUCUCUGAUUUCUGCCCAGUGCUCUGAAUGUUAAUUUAAGGAAAUUUGAGUAAGCGCGGGUAAACGGCGGGAGUAACUAUGACUCUCUUAAGGUAGCCAAAUGCCUCGUCAUUUAAUUAGUGACGCGUAUGGAGGAUCCUGGGUUCCUACUACCCUGCUCCAUCUCCU